GGCUGUCUGCCAUCCGCCGGGCUUUAUAUUCCUUGAACCAAUGCUCAUUGAGCGCGGGCUUGGUACAUCGCGCAGUGGGCGUGAGCGUCUCGCGUCAGACGAACCCGAAGCUGCGCUGCCCUCGCCCACCUGAACCCAGUGUUCAGGAUGCCGGCCUGGCGGUUUGGCAGACACCCU
rnacentral:sRNA from 1 species